rnacentral:rRNA from 1 species
GAUGAACGCUAGCGGCAGGCUUAACACAUGCAAGUCGAGGGGUAUAGUUCUUCGGAGCUAGAGACCGGCGCACGGGUGCGUAACGCGUUUGCAAUCUACCUUUUGCAGAGGGAUAGCCCAGAGAAAUUUGGAUUAAUACCUCAUAGUAUGUGAGAAUGGCAUCAUUUUCACAUUAAAGUCACAACGGCAAAAGAUGAGCAUGCGUCCCAUUAGCUUGUUGGUAAGGUAACGGCUUACCAAGGCAACGAUGGGUAGGGGUCCUGAGAGGGAGAUCCCCCACACUGGUACUGAGACACGGACCAGACUCCUACGGGAGGCAGCAGUGAGGAAUAUUGGACAAUGGGCGCAAGCUUGAUCCAGCCAUGCCGCGUGCAGGAUGACGGUCCUAUGGAUUGUAAACUGCUUUUGUACAGGAAGAAACACUGGUUCGUGAACCAGCUUGACGGUACUGUAAGAAUAAGGAUCGGCUAACUCCGUGCCAGCCGCCGCCGUAACAC